AUUGAACGCUGGCGGUAGGCCUAACACAUGCAAGUCGAACGGUAACAGGAAACAGCUUGCUGUUUCGCGGAGGAGUGGGGGGCGGGUGAGUAAUGUAUGGGAAACUGUCUGUUGGAGGGGGGGAAAUAGUGGAGACGGUAACUAUUAUAGCAUAAAGUAGCAAGGCCAAAGAGGGGGAGAUUUUGGGCCCUUGCCAUCGGGUAUGACCAGAUGGGGUUAGCUAGUGGGGGGGGUAACGGCUCACCUAGGCGACGAUCCCUAGCUGGUCUGUGAGGAUGAGCAGCCACACUGGAACUGAGACACGGUCCAGACUCCUACGGGAGGCAGCAGUGGGGAAUAUUGCACAAUGGGCGCAAGCCUGAUCCAGCCAUGCCGCGUGUAUGAAGAAGGCCUUCGGGUUGUAAAGUACUUUCGUCGGGGAGGAAGGGAAUCAGGUUAAUACCUCGCUUCAUUGACGGUACCCACAGAAUAAGCACCGGCUAACUUCGUG
rnacentral:rRNA from 1 species